AAUUCCUGGCUCAGGAUGAACGCUAGCGACAGGCUUAACACAUGCAAGUCGAGGGGCAGCAUGAUAAGUAGCAAUACUUAUUGAUGGCGACCGGCGCACGGGUGAGUAACGCGUAUGCAACUUACCUAUCAGAGGGGGAUAGCCCGGCGAAAGUCGGAUUAAUACUCCAUAAAACAGGGGUUCCGCAUGGGACUAUUUGUUAAAGAUUCAUCGCUGAUAGAUAGGCAUGCGUUCCA
rnacentral:rRNA from 1 species